rnacentral:rRNA from 1 species
GAUGAACGCUGGCGGCGUGUCUAAUACAUGCAAGUCGAGCGAACGGACGAGAAGCUUGCUUCUCUGAUGUUAGCGGCGGACGGGUGAGUAACACGUGGAUAACCUACCUAUAAGACUGGGAUAACUUCGGGAAACCGGAGCUAAUACCGGAUAAUAUUUUGAACCGCAUGGUUCAAAAGUGAAAGACGGUCUUGCUGUCACUUAUAGAUGGAUCCGCGCUGCAUUAGCUAGUUGGUAAGGUAACGGCUUACCAAGGCAACGAUGCAUAGCCGACCUGAGAGGGUGAUCGGCCACACUGGAACUGAGACACGGUCCAGACUCCUACGGGAGGCAGCAGCAGGGAAUCUUCCGCAAUGGGCGAAAGCCUGACGGAGCAACGCCGAGUGAGUGAUGAAGGUCUUCGGAUCGUAAAACUCUGUUAUUAGGGAAGAACAUAUGUGUAAGUAACUGUGCACAUCUUGACGGUACCUAAUCAGAAAGCCACGGCUAACUACGUG